rnacentral:rRNA from 1 species
UCAGUUCGGACUGGAGUCUGCAACCCGACUCCACGAAGCUGGAUUCGCUAGUAAUCGCGCAUCAGCCACGGCGCGGUGAAUACGUUCCCGGGCCUUGUACACACCGCCCGUCAAGCCAUGGGAGCCGGGGGUACCUGAAGUGCGUAACCGCGAGGAUCGCCCUAGGGUAAAACUGGUGACUGGGGCUAAGUCGUAACAAGGUACC